rnacentral:rRNA from 1 species
UACGAAGGGUGCAAACGUUGCUCGGAAUUAUUGGGCGUAAAGCGCACGUAGGCGGCUUGGCAAGUCGGAUGUGAAAUCCCUCGGCUCAACCAAGGAAGUGCAUCCGAAACUGCCGAGCUUGAGUACUUAAGAGGAUCGCGGAAUUCCCGGUGUAGAGGUGAAAUUCGUAGAUAUCGGGAGGAACAUCAGUGGCGAAGGCGGCGACCUGGGUAGAUACUGACGCUGAGGUGCGAAAGCGUGGGGAGCAAACAGG